rnacentral:rRNA from 1 species
AUUGAACGCUGGCGGCAGGCCUAACACAUGCAAGUCGAGCGGGGUUUUCGGACCUAGCGGCGGACGGGUGAGUAAUGCGUAGGAAGCUGCCCGAUAGAGGGGGAUACCAGUUGGAAACGACUGUUAAUACCGCAUAAUGUCUACGGACCAAAGUGUGGGACCUUCGGGCCACAUGCUAUCGGAUGCGCCUACGUGGGAUUAGCUAGUUGGUGGGGUAAUGGCUCACCAAGGCGACGAUCUCUAGCUGGUUUGAGAGGAUGAUCAGCCACACUGGAACGGAGACACAGUACAGAGUCCAACGGGAGGCAGCAGUGGGGAGUAUUGGACAAUGGGCGCAAGCCUGAUCCGGCCAUGCCGCGUGUGUGAAGAAGGUCUUCGGGUUGUAAAGCACUUUCAGCGAGGAGGAAGGGUGGUGUGUUAAUAGCACAUCAUUUUGACGUUACUCGCAGAAGAAGCACCGGCUAACUCUGUGCCAGCAGCCGCAGUAA